AGAAUCAACGCUGGCGGCGUGCCUAACACAUGCAAGUCGCACGAGAAAGGGGCUUCGGCCCUGAGUAAAGUGGCGCACGGGUGAGUAACACGUGAAUCAUCUACCUCCGAGUGGGGAAUAACCUAGAGAAAUCUGGGCUAAUACCGCAUAACACUUACGAGUCAAAGCAGCAAUGCGCUUGGAGAGGAGUUCGCGGCAGAUUAGUUAGUUGGCAGGGUAAUGGCCUACCAAGACGAUGAUCUGUA
rnacentral:rRNA from 1 species